rnacentral:snRNA from 14 species
AGCUUUGCGCAGUGGCAGUAUCAUAGCCAAUGAGGUUUAUCCGAGGCGCGAUUAUUGCUAAUUGAAAACUUUUCCCAAUACUUAAAUCUUUUGUGAUCCCACUAAGCUCCUCAUUGAAUUGUUUUUUAACCUUUUCUGUU